AUGUGUGUCCUAACCCAAAAGACUUUUGGGGAUAUGUACCAGGAGUUUGAAGACAAAUUGGAAUCUUUACAGGCUACUUAUGGGUUUAAAGUAAAUGUGAUGUGGGAGCAUGAGUGGACCGAACUCAAAAAGUCUGAUCCUCAUGUUCGAGUUUUCCUUUCCAGCUUUGACACACCAGAACCCUUGGAACCCCGACAGGCCUUGUAUGGAGGUCGUACCAAUGCUUUGACAUUACGGUAUGUAGCGCAACCUGACGAGACAAUAGGAUAUGUAGAUUUUACAUCCCUUUAUCCUCAUGUAAUGAGUUCCUCUUGCUAUCCUAUGGGUCAUCCUGAAAUUAUUCACCGUGACUUUGACUUACCCCAAAACUAUUUUGGUCUGAUUAAAGCAACGGUUUACCCUCCCCGGGGUUUGUUUCUGCCAGUGUUGCCUUACAAGGGACCUCAAGGAAAACUUUUAUUUCCCCUUUGUCGCACCUGCAGUGAAAACAACAACCAGGAAAAGCCUUGUGAUCAUUCAGAUCAAGAAAGAGCCCUGACAGGUGUAUGGGUCACCGUUGAAUUCUCUAAGGCUCUAGAGAAGGAGUAUCGUGUGGCCAAAAUCUUUGAAGUGUGUAACUUUUCCAGGAAAUCAGACACUCUUUUUAAAGAGUACAUCAAUACCUUCUUGAGAUGCAAGCAAAUGGCUUCUGGGUAUCCUGUAUCGGUUACAGAUCAAGAGAGCAAAGACAAGUACAUUCAGGACAGUCACGACAGAGAAGGUAUACGUCUUGACCCCGACAGAAUGGAGGUCAACAAAACCAAAAGAAAUCUGUCGAAAUUGUAUUUAAACUUACUUUGGGUCAAACUAUCCCAGAGAAGCAAUAUGCUAACAACGUCGAUCAUUAAAGACCCCGAAGAAUUUUUGGAAUUAGUUUUUUCGGACCAAUACGAAAUUUCACAUUUUUCAUUCUUGAGUCAAGACAUUGCCCUGGUGCAAUGGAGACGUAACAAGAAGUGGGUUCUACCCCCGGGUAAUGUAAAUGUGUUUCUUGUAGCAUUUACCACAGCCUAUGGUUGA
rnacentral:lncRNA from 8 species